rnacentral:rRNA from 1 species
GACGAACGCUGGCGGCGUGCCUAAUACAUGCAAGUAGAACGCUGAAGAGAGGAGCUUGCUCUUCUUGGAUGAGUUGCGAACGGGUGAGUAACGCGUAGGUAACCUGCCUUGUAGCGGGGGAUAACUAUUGGAAACGAUAGCUAAUACCGCAUAACAAUGGAUGACACAUGUCAUUUAUUUGAAAGGGGCAAUUGCUCCACUACAAGAUGGACCUGCGUUGUAUUAGCUAGUAGGUGAGGUAAUGGCUCACCUAGGCGACGAUACAUAGCCGACCUGAGAGGGUGAUCGGCCACACUGGGACUGAGACACGGCCCAGACUCCUACGGGAGGCAGCAGUAGGGAAUCCUCGGGAAUGGGGGCAACCCUGACCGAGCAACGCCGCGUGAGGGAAGAAGGUUUUCGGAUCGUAAAGCUCUGGUGUAAGUCAAGAACGGGUGGUAGAGUGGAAAGUGCACACUUUGACGGUAGCUUACCAGAAAGGGACGGCUAACUACGUG